CAGCAACAAGGUUCCAUAUUGGAAGCAGAGAGCAGCCCUCACCGGACAUGGAACCUUCCAGUGCCUUGAUCUUCGACUUACAGCCUCCUCCAUUCUUCAUCAAUUACCCAGUCUCAGUCACUGAGCAGGACUCCCAAAGGCCACCACUGCUGUCCAGCACCCCUCUCAAUGCAGCUACUUCCAGCGGGUUGUGGAACCACUCCUUCCUGUGUCUUCAAGUAUAGAGGUGGAAACAGCUGUCUGCUGUUGCUUGCACCAAGGUACUAAUGGAAUGAAGCUCUCUUCUCCCUAAAGGAAUAGGAUGGGACAGACCCCAAAUCCCAACUGUUCUGCUGGUUCCCACUCUGGUUUUGGGUCUUGUAUACACUAAGACACAAGGUCCUGAGCACCAUGAGGAUCAGCACUCACCCCUUGAGUAUCUCCAUGCCGUCUGCCCGAGGGGAUGUGACAUUAAAUUGCAAGUUUUCCGUGAUAUCACCAACAUAAGGAAUCUCUCCCAAGUCUAAUACAACAGUCUUUUCCUGUACCUCUCUUUUGGAACUUAACACUUUCUGCCAUCUGUAAUUGUCAUUAAUAUACUAAAUGUCUUAUUCCCACAGUGUUUGAUUCCCCUGAGAAUACCAUCCUUGGUGUGAAACAUCAAUAUAAUGUUUUAUA